rnacentral:lncRNA from 1 species
UCCCUUGCAUCUAAAAGACCACACGAUCUGGCUCGUUUGAUAGUGAUAAAAUCGGGAUGGAGGUAGGGUUCACAAACCUGCUAUCUUUGAAAGCAAGCGGCUAUGACCUCCUGUUCGUGGUGCAUUGGAUCCGGCUGUAAUUUCCAGGUCUUCAAUUUUUUUCUCUAGUUUUCUGCAACAUUAAUUACUACGAUCUUUCACGUCUUGACUACUGCUAAUUUACUCAGUUAUCUAUUUUUUGGUAAUUGUUUUUCUUUUGCAACAUGAGGUUAGAAUUGAGAUUCAAUUUCAAAAUGGUUUUAGAUUUAUGUAAAAGAGAGUAGAUGUCGUAAUUUUAUUGGUAAUGACACAGAUCUACGCAAGUCAAGUCCCCAUUAUUGUACGUUCUCACAACCAGUGAGAAUUCCACAUACACCACAACUGACGAAUGUUGCGAAUUUUGAAGUUUAGAGAAGCGAAUAAAACCGACCUCUGCUUUGCUCGGAGACCCUGAAGGUGAGCUUUGUGGAGCAGGAAGUGAUAAGCCUGAUAAGCCACCGCCUCCUUCAAACUUUGCAAUUCAUUUAAAAGACUUUCCUUGUCAGAGUACUUAUUGAAUUCCAGCUUCCGCACUUUAACCUCGGGCGUUGAUUCUCUCGCAUUCACAGAACAUGUUUCUUCCAUCAGACGCUUUACAGCCGAGUUGGAACCACCUGCAAAGUCUGAGUUAAGAUCAAAUGGACUAGGAGAUUGCCAUCUGUAUCUGCACCCGCAUCGGAGGACAAGGCAUGAAAUAAACUAUUAUCACAAAUAAAUUUGCAGGAAAAUUUGAAACAAACAUGUGAGAGGUAUUCAGAAUGCUGAUGUAUCGUAUACAAUUAACGUCGUUAUACUUACGUCGAGGUCGUAGCAUCAAGUAAAGGGCAUAGCGUUUACUCGGCCGUAAGUCAUGGAAUUGCUGUAUUAGAAGCAAUGCAAAUUAAAGGCGUUUAGUGAAGGGCACUUCCAAGCGGGGCUUAUUUUUGGUACUUUUCUGAGGAAAUACGCAAA